GAGGGUGUAGCUCGGUGGCAGAGUGCAUGCCUAGCAUGCAUGAGGUCCUGGGUUCAAGUUCCAGGACCUCUG
rnacentral:tRNA from 1 species